rnacentral:lncRNA from 1 species
GCCAUUUUCGAGUGAUGCCUGAUCUCAUCAAUCUAGCGGGAGGGAAGGGAUAACCUGUCCGAGCCUAGCGCGACGCUAGGAUCACGCCGGAAAAUCCCCCAAAAAUCAUCAAAAAAAUUAACUUAGAGCAGAGGGCAGUCGGUGGGGCUUCGCCAGAUGCGGCGCAGUCGUUGUUACCUGUUAAGUCAUUAAGAACCAGAAAGGGUGAAACAAAUGAAAAAAAUAAAUAACGUUGCAUUUUCACCUCGAUUUGGGAGCAGUAAAAGAUUUUAACCAUUAGAAGAAUACCAGUUCUGGAAAACAACCAAAGUUUCUUUGAUUGAAUGCCCAUGUAAUGCAUUGGAAUAUGAUAGGCGAUUAAGGUUUAACAAUGUUAAAAUGAAGAUAUUACUAAAAUGGCCCUCUAAAUAGCCCAACAAUUAUUAUUUUGUAAGUAUUAGUUUCUAGCUCCUUCCUUCCUCAGUGACCCAUCACCACUGCAAUGAAGACUUGUGUUUGGUAUCAUAUUUCCAUAUAUCUGAUAAUUUUUCUAUUUAUUCUUGAAUAACUUAAAUUGCCCAUUAACACUCUAUUCAUGUUUGAUAUUAAUUUAGAACAAGAAUGAUUUCAUUGCCUCAGGAAACUUUACUAGUGUGGAAAGUAUUUUAUAGAAAGUCCCUGCUAUCUCCGAGUCUGAAGUCAAAAUAUUAAAUCCUUUCUUUAAAGUUUACAAA